GAGACACUGUACAUGAAGUUUCCAGAACCAGCCAUGUCCAUCUUACUAAUCAAGACUCUCUCUGUUAAAUCUGCAACUCAAAUGACUUUAAGGAAAAAUGGAUUUCAUUGAUUCACAUAACCAUCACUCAAGGACUAACUUUCAACAUAGUGAGAUCCUGAGGCUCAAAUAUUAUUACCCGAAACAACCUUCAGUACAUAAGUAAUGGCUGCUGGAUGUAACUUGCAAUUGGGUGGCAGGUCGGCAAGGAAAGAAUUCCAAACAGAGGACUUUCUGAAAGCCUAAUUAUACAUAUUGAAUGUAACAAAAGGAAAAUAGUUUUUAAGGGUUCCAUGAACUGCUUCCUCUGACAUGAGAUCUAACAAGGCUAAAGACUAAAAUGCAGCUGUUUACAGCGUAAGUAGGAGGCCGUCCCGUGCAGUGCAAAAUCAACAGAGAGGAGACAGUCCUAUGCCUUCGAGAGACAGUCUGCUGAUACUGUCAUGAUGUCUAGUGACAGGCCAGAGAUCAAAACCCAACACCCUCAUUUACCUGACAGUGAUUUGGCCAAUCCC
rnacentral:lncRNA from 1 species